UGAAAGAAGGCUUUUCCUCCUGCGUCUGUGCAGGAUGGAGUUUCCCCUCCUUUCUGCCUCUGCAUGGAACGGGAUGGAGAGGGACCAGGGGAGACCCUUAGAAAAUAUCCAGUGGUCUUACUGCACAAAGCAAACGUUGCAACACGUUGUCUCUUUCCGCCAACUUUAAUGGGCUCACGAUGAUGCGUCAACCAUCCUAAAGACUCAAGCCAUUCAAGGUUAUGGAAAAAGUUCGUCGUCUUUUUUCAUAAAGAGGCUUAGAUGGAAACUCAACUUUCUAGUGACAAGAUGCAGAAGAAGUAUGGAUUUAACCUAAAUUCUGUACCUGCUGUGUAAACAUUCUCUAACCUUUUUCAUGUAAGCACAGGCCCUCAAAACUACAAGGCUUUCCAUCCACAAAGCACUUGUAUCAAUAGCUUCUUUACUUAAUUUUUUUUCAUUAGUUGCCAUUUAAUCAAGGCUAAAUAAA